rnacentral:lncRNA from 1 species
GCGUUCAACAAGUUCUGGGAUUAAAGAGAGGAUUUAUUGUCCGCACAUGUGCAGAAGUUGAUUUGACGAAUUUAUUUAUUUUGUUAAGAGAUUCGAGAUUGUAUUUCUAACCUAACAAGUUUAAAAUUUUGAAUUGUUGUGUUAUCAUACAAAUGUUGUAAAAGAUGAUGAACCUCAGUUCAAGUGAUGAAGAUUUGGAAGAGAUUGUAGGACUUUUAAAUGUUCCAAAAAAUGCAAAUUUUUUUGAGGAAACUGUGCAACAAUUUAAUAACCAACAAUUUAUACAGAAUUUUAGAUUAAGUAGAGACUUAGCUGUAGAUUUGGCAAAUAAGUAUGAAAGAUCUCAUUUCCACAAUAUUAUGUAAAAUUACUUUUCCUGUUUUGGAGUGUUGUUUGUCCUAGCGUAGAUAAAGAUAAAAGAAUAAGGUUAGGCAAUUGGCAUAGGCAACCCAAAAAA